UCUCCGUUGGUGAACCAGCGGAGGGAUCAUUACAGAGAACAGACGCCGCGCCGGUCCUCCGGGGCCGUCGCGUCUAUGUCCUGCACACCUGUUGUCUUACCGCCUGCCGGGCCGUGUUGCCUCGGCGGGGUUCCCUCCGGCGCUUACCCGCCGGAAGUGAGUCCCGCCGAAGGUACCGCCCACUAAACUCUUGUAUACCACGAUACUUCUGAGUACACUUACAAAUAAGUUAAAACUUUCAACAACGGAUCUCUUGGUUAUGGCAUCGAUGAAGAACGCAGC
rnacentral:misc_RNA from 1 species